rnacentral:rRNA from 1 species
UUAGACAAUAGAGUAUUUUGAAAUAAAACCCAAGAGCGAAAUUAACGUGACUGUUAAUGGGAUUAUAUUUAUCCAUUAUAUAUUACAUAUAUGGAUAAAUUUCCAUCCCGGGGCGAUUUAUAAUUAAAAUUGCAAAAUUUUAUGAAAUCGUACCUUGAGCAUACAUGGUAGGACCCGAAAGAUGGUGAACUAUCCCUGAUCAGGUUGAAGUCAGGGGAAACCCUGAUGGAGGACCGAAGCAGUUCUGACGUGCAAAUCGAUUGUCAGAAUUGGGUAUAGGGGCGAAAGACCAAUCGAACCAUCUAGUA